CAGAGGAGAUAAAUACCCUCAUGCUGUAGUUGGUGGGCUUUGCCCUUGGCUGUGUAGGUUGUGUGUUGUUGAGUGGAAAUAUGCGUUAGAGGGGAAGGUGAAAACAGUCAAAAAUUCAGGCUAUGACCACAGCCCAACUGAGAUAUACUGACUGCAAAUGAUUUCAGGUAGAACAGCUUCUGUUGCAGAGCUUUUGACCCUUGGUCAAUUGAAAACCAAAGGAUGUAGCACAGAGCCUCUGAGCUGCCUUCAUCACCUACAACUGGGCCAAGGAUGACUCUUGAUGUCUGAAAGAGGAAGAAUUUCCUGAAUUUGCUCACUGCUCCUGUCCUCUCCCUGCAGACACCUGUGAAUAUCUGCUCCAGGGAGAAAAGAGGUUUUUCACCUCAUAUAACACCAUUUUUAUGCUUAUUACUAUUGAUGUGAUUGAACCUCUGCCACAGUCUGAUUUUGGAUGCCUGUGCACAUGGAGACUGGAGAACAUCAGCAAGUCAUAGAGAGAGCAGAACCAGAAUUACCUAUGGCUGCAGAGGGGAUGUGGGACGUGGUGGCUGAGGAGAGCACAGUGUGCUUAACCUGCUUUCUGGCUGGAAUUGCAGAAUGGUUUCUGCUGAAGGUGUAUGCAGCAUUUGGGGCCAUAUCCCACCUGCAAGCUGGGCAGUUCAUCGCAGUGAGGACCACACGCUUUUGUGCCUGGACACCAAAUAGGAGAUGACUACUUGGGGAAAGUCAAGCCCAAACCUCUUCCUAAGCAGCUGGAUCUGGCUAACCACCAAGAUGAGCUGGGAUGGGCCUUGGACCAUGGUUUUCUUGGAGCACAACAAGCCUUCACCCAAUGUCAGUGUUGGUCCUCAGUGGGAGUGGAAUUUUGUAGUGCUUUGGAAAUCCAAUUGCUCUUUUUGAGAGCUUCGGCUCCCCAAAAGCUGCCACACCUGAGCUAAGUGUCUAGCAUAGAUCAAGGCCUUGGCUAUGAAGUCCUCCUCUCUCCAGGGAGCACAUCUCCUCUUGGCACAUUCAACGGAUGCAGUGCCAGCCUGGGACGGGCUGACAGAUCCCCAGGGUGCUUGCAAUGCACUGGGCAGAAUAAUGGGACGCAGUUAAGAGUGAGUGCAAGGCGUAGGGAGGUGUUGCUGUUCAUUAACCUCUUUGCAGUGCAGAGCUGCACUUGAAGUCAUCUUCCUUGCUUGCAUCUCCCCCGGGAGGACAAGCUCCCAAGCGGCACAGAGUGACUUCAGCUGGGGCACGAACCCACUGGCUCCUGGAAGCACCUCGGCUGUGCCAACCAGACAGAGCUCCAGGACACGGCGUGCUGCGGGGAGCCACGGUGCUGUCAGGGUUCAAAGGCUGAUGAGCCAUCCUUCCUCUAAGGAAACGCAUGGCAACCUUUGGGGCCACCAUCCACACCAACCUCCUGGCUUUCCUGAUGGCUCUGGUACAUUUUCAUCUCCUCCGAAUAUCUCCAUCUGCUCUCAGAGGCGCUGAGCCGUGCUGCGAGUGUGGGAUGAAAUGCAAAGGGAAAGGGGAAAAAAAUAUACAAUUCCUGUCAGGUAGAUGAAAACUCAGUUUUCCCCCUUCUCCUUCCUGCCUCCUGGAGAACACACCGUAUGUGGAAGGUGACCUUUUGUCUCCUUCUUCUCCGCCCGAGCUGAGAGCGAUUCGGCUGACACAUCCGAUGACAGAUAGAUACCAGCAUGAGCAAAUUGCGCUUGAACUUGCUCCAGAGAAAAUUGUUACAAGGCACGGGCACAGGCUGGGCUGCAUUAGGGAGAGCACAGAUCACAGUCAAAUGUUUGUGUCAUUUGCAAACGCCACUGUGAGGGGAUGUGGGGGGGGGGUGAACAGAUGAACGUUUUGAACUCUAAAGGUUACUGUAGAGAAUACGAAAUAGGGCUCUGUGUUUGACUUUUGAAGAGUGUUCUCCAUGUGGGGAAAGUUCAGGUGAAAUCAGGUUAACCCCAACCACCUGGAUUUUUUUUCUUUCAACUUGUUUUAUUAUUUAUUUAUUUAUUUAUUCAUUUUAAAGUUGUUUUCUUGUUGGUACACCCCCACUGCAGAAGUUCCUGAAAUCUUGAAAUCUUGAUGUUCAAAGUAAAACUUUGGUUGAUAUGCAUGCUGUCUUGCUGGUAUGAGUAGAAGCCAAGGGCAAUAGAUUAAAAAACAAACCCAAAAAGAAUCUGUUUAUGGCAAUAAAACUCUGAUCACAAAUCCCAGAUGCAAAAAAAAAAAAAAGAAAUUUAAAUGUAAGCACUCUGAAAGCACAUCCUUGCCUGUCCAAAUAGCAUUUCCAGGCUGAUCUAUGUUAAUGGUUUCAGUAACUCAUUAAUUCAUCAGGAUUUAAUGAAGAAUUGUGUGUUCUGGCCACCUCCAUCUUUCUGCCAUUUGGGUCUUCCUGCAGAAGAACAAACCUGAACCCUGCCAAGCUCUGCCCUCAGGGCAGGGGAGGACCACCUUCCCAGGUCCUUAUUUAAGAGACUAAGAAUAUUUUAGGAUUAAAUGUAUAUCAUGUUAAUGAUUUUUUCCCCUCUCUCAAUGUACCUGUCAUGGUGAUCUCAUGCCUCUCCAGCCUUUGACCUCAGACAGACAGUCAUUUAUGGGGCCGGUAAUGUUCACUCAUCCUUCAGGAUGCUCAGAGCAGCGGUUUCGCUCCCUCCACCAGGCACCUAUUGAAUCUCUUCGCGCCUCGUCCAUUAAAAACCUGGCCUCUGCAGCCCACAGGACAGCGAGAGAUGAAUGGUGCUGGCGUGCGGCCACGUCGAAGGACAGAGGCAGGAUCAGCCUGCCGUGGACAGGCACAGACGAAUGGAACCUGCAGGAUGGGCACGCAAUUACCUCGUUUGCCAAACUCAUUACAGGCAAGUUGCAAAUUUCCAGCGUGCUGCCCCUGGCCUCAGAGACAAAGCUGUCAGCUGGUUAAUGAAUAAUUCCAGGCCAAAUUCAGGUAGGGCUGGAGAAGGUGGAGGUUUUGAUGAAGUUGGUUGGCUUGGCCAGGCUGACGCCAGGGUCUCUGGCCCUGUGCAUGGUGGCUCGAUCCCCAGGAACACCUGGGACAGCCUCUGACCUGUGAGUUGCACGAGAGCCCUGAGGUCACGUUGGGUGUUUGCUCUGAAACCUGCUAGAGCAACAUCCUGCAGUAGUGUCCUCACCGCUCGUGCUCUGAGCCUUGCUGAUUCCCAGGAACAAAUUACAUGUCUGGGAGCAAAAGCCAAAUCUGAUCCUAUGCCACUAGCAUUAAAAACCAGUAAAAUCCAUAGCACGAAAAAAAAACAAAAAAACUUUUGUCUCAACAAAGAAGUACAAGAGUAUUUGGGUGAUUUGGGGAAAUGCCUGUAUUUCAGAUGCUGGAUGCUAUUUUGACCUUGGCACGUUGGUUAAUGUCCAGUUACAGUUUCUCAGGGAGGUGCAUGGCCACGCUCUGAGAGGGAAUCCAGGUAACAUUGCCUUUAUAUGCCAUAAAAAGCUGAAAAAAAAGGAAUGGCUGGUAGUGCCCAGCAGUACGUUUCCAAGCCCCAGGACUGCUGCUUUGUGUUCCUAAUUGCCACCUACAGGCACAGACCCAUGAACUCCUGACCCACAAGUGUGCAGGGCUUUGUCCCCUGGUCCCCCCUGCCCCACAGCCCCUGGGUGGCUGGCAGGCAGGAUGAGA